AAUGGACCCUGCGCAAGGAUGACACGAAAAAUCGUGAAGCGUUCCACAUUUUU
rnacentral:snRNA from 1 species